GAUGAACGCUGGCGGCGUGCCUAAUACAUGCAAGUCGAGCGAACAGACGAGGAGCUUGCUCCUCUGACGUUAGCGGCGGACGGGUGAGUAACACGUGGAUAACCUACCUAUAAGACUGGGAUAACUUCGGGAAACCGGAGCUAAUACCGGAUAAUAUAUUGAACCGCAUGGUUCAAUAGUGAAAGACGGUUUUGCUGUCACUUAUAGAUGGAUCCGCGCCGCAUUAGCUAGUUGGUAAGGUAACGGCUUACCAAGGCAACGAUGCGUAGCCGACCUGAGAGGGUGAUCUGCGACAGGGGGACGGAGAGAAGGCCAAGACUCAUAAGGGAGGAAGAAGUGGGGAAUAUUGCACAGGGGGAGGAAGCCUGAUGCAGAAACGCCGCGGGCGGGAGGACGGACGUAGGGGUGUAAAAAGAUUGCGACGGGGAAGAAGAGGGAGGGAGGGGAAGGGGUAAAGAAGAAACGGCUAACUACGUG
rnacentral:rRNA from 1 species